rnacentral:rRNA from 1 species
GAUGAACGCUAGCGGCAGGCUUAAUACAUGCAAGUCGAACGGUAACAGGUCUUCGGACGCUGACGAGUGGCGCACGGGUGAGGAACACGUACACAAUCUACCUUAUACUGGAGAAUAGCCCCGGGAAACUGGGAUUAAUACUCCAUAGUCUUUAAUGAUCACAUGAGAAAUAAAGUAAAGCUUCGGCGGUAUAAGAUGAGUGUGCGUCCCAUUAGAUUGUUGGUGAGGUAACGGCUCACCAAGUCGACGAUGGGUAGCUGGCGUGAGAGCGCGACCAGCCACACUGGCACUGAGACACGGGCCAGACUCCUACGGGAGGCGGCAGUAGGGAAUAUUGGUCAAUGGACGAAAGUCUGAACCAGCCAUGCCGCGUGGAGGAUGACUGCCCUCUGGGUUGUAAACUCCUUUUAUAUGGGAAGAAACCUCUGGAUUCACUCCAGAGCUGACGGUAUCAUAUGAAUAAGCACCGGCUAACUCCGUG